rnacentral:rRNA from 1 species
UACAGAGGGGGCAAGCGUUGUUCGGAAUUACUGGGCGUAAAGGGCGCGUAGGCGGCCGGUUAAGUCGAACGUGAAAUCCCCGGGCUCAACCCGGGAACUGCGUCCGAUACUGGCAGGCUUGAAUCCGGGAGAGGGAUGCGGGAUUCCAGGUGUAGCGGUGAAAUGCGUAGAUAUCUGGAGGAACACCGGUGGCGAAGGCGGCUAUCUGGACCGACAUUGACGCUGAGGCGCGAAAGCGUGGGGAGCAAACAGG